UACGAAGGGGGCUAGCGUUGCUCGGAAUCACUGGGCGUAAAGGGUGCGUAGGCUGGUCUUUAAGUCAGGGGUGAAAUCCUGGAGCUCAACUCCAGAACUGCCUUUGAUACUGAAGAUCUUGAGUCCGGGAGAGGUGAGUGGAACUGCGAGUGUAGAGGUGAAAUUCGUAGAUAUUCGCAAGAACACCAGUGGCGAAGGCGGCUCACUGGCCCGGUACUGACGCUGAGGCACGGAAGCGUGGGGAGCAAACAGG
rnacentral:rRNA from 1 species